rnacentral:snoRNA from 12 species
UCUGGAUGACCAAGAAGGCAGAAUCUGAUGAAGCAAGACUGCUUAUACAAUUCUCUUAGAAAAAAGGAUUGGAGAGAGCAGCCCUUACUGGAAAAUAUCACAGGGUUGCCUGUACUAUCCAAUAUUG